GCUGUCUACACUGAGUGUGUUUAGACCUCACCAUGUGCUGUCUACAGUGAGAACACUUAGAUUGACAGGUUCUGCCCACGCUAGGAUGUGGGGGCCUGGGUGGAGACCCGGCCUCAGUCUUGGAGCUUCAGGGCAAUGUGGGGACCUGAGGAAGACAUGGCCUCAGUCCUGGGAAGUUCCACGCCUCUGUCUGAAUGUCAGGGCUUAAGUGUUGGGUCUAGAGUUAUGCGGGCUUGUCUGUUCGCAGUGUCUGCUCUGAGCAUGGUGACCUGGCCUCCCAGGGGUCAGUGCCAUGGGAGGGCCCGAGUCCUACCCCUGCAAUGGUCACCUUCCCUUGGGGUUGGUGCAGACCCCUCACCUGGGCUACCUCACAAUGACUCCCAUUCAGCAGCACACACAGGGCGAGGAGGGGGCAGGUUUCCCUGGUGAACUGAUUGCUGGGCUCGUGGAUCUCCAUUUAAGGCCAAAGGUCAGCAGGUGAGGCAGCCUUUAGAGUCUUCUUCCCACUUGGCCGAGCCCAGACCUGCGUCUUCGCUUUCAGCUCUGCCAUCCUGUGAGUUUUCUCAUCACCUCAGUGAGACCAAAGGGCUAAGCCUGCCAGAGUCAAGGGUCAGAGAUGGGGUUGGAGGCGGCACUUGCAGCACCCUGAGGAUGUGCCCAGCAAGGAAAGCGCCCAGAAACACGCUACGGGCUGGGGUGUGACAAUCUCAGAGCCGGAACUCACCCCACACCCUGAAAUCAACAACCCCACUUGCAAAACUCUGGUCUGCACUGACCUGGGGCACAUGCCAGCAGGAUGUCUUCCUCUUCUUCCUCUCAGGCACACUGAAAUCCACUCUUGGGUGGGAGUAUGGAUUCUUCACUGUCACUCUGGAUACUCAACCUUCACGACACAAGCCCACACCCUGAAAUCAAAGGCCCAGCUCUGAGGCAUAUUUGCUCAUAGGGUCAGAAGCACCAUGUACCAAAACGGAAAGCUCUGGGCACCUCUCCGGGUGCCAAACACCCAUCUCCAACCUUGCCUCUGAGCCUGAAGACGAAUCCAGGAGCUGCAGGGGGAGCAGCUCUGCUGCCAUCUGGUGGCCAAAUGCUCAAACAGCAACGCUCAGUCCUUCCUCUGCCCCCCACAGUAGAACCCUGGUCUGCAGAGCCCUGGGCAACUUGCCAGCCUGAUUUCCCAAGUCCUCUCCCUCAUAGCACACUGAGCUGCAGAAUGGGCAGGGGUGUGACUUACAGUCAGGCCACUAACACCACCCAAUUAUAUCCCACUCCCUGAAAUCAUCCACCCUGCUAUUUAAGGCAAGACAGCAGGCUUUGAAUCAGCAGCCUUCGCCCCUAGACAAAGCAUGGCAUCCUAAUCAACUGAACCGUCUUUCACCUUUCAUGGAUGUAGACAGGUUCCUUCGAAUGCGUGUCCUGCUGAGGCUGAAGCGGCUCGGGUGCAGAGGGAAGAGGGAGCUUGUAGAGAUCCCUGGAAAGAAAGGGACCACUGAUAAGCACAGCCAUCCCCAAAAAACUACGGCUUCAACACAGGGCAUUCAUGAUCUGAGGCUCAGCAUCUGGGAAGCCAAGUUCCCCACAAGGCUCUUCUACAAAACUUCCACCCAACAUUCAAGCCAGGUGUUUCUGGGUCCAGAGGUCUGCCUGCCAACAAGCAAAGGACACUCAGACCACAGACAGCCUGUCUCUCUCCCUCAUCUUGGGGCCACCCGACCAGACAGGAAUUGAAUUAGACACGUGGUAGCACAACACUGUCCCCUCGUUUGAGUUGAGGCUAUCUGGGCCACUGGGUCAGAGGCACCCUGAACAAACACACCAGGCUCUGGGCACCUCCUUGAGGUUCCAUGCGUCCAUCUCCACUCCCCACUGAGCCUGGACGCGCAAACAGGGAGCUGCAGGGGGCUCUGCUGGGCUCUGGCGCCCUCUGGUGGACCUGUGCUCUAACAGCAACUCUCGGCCCUUCCUCUGCCUCCCACAGCAAAAGUCUGGUCUGCGCUGGCCCAGGCCUAUUGUCUGCAUGGUGUCCUUGCUCCUCUCCCUGUCAGGCACACUGUCACAUUCGGCUAAGACCCUCACCCCAUACACGACCACCCCACACCCUGAAAUAAACCGCUCCAUUUUGUAAGUCACGAGAGCAGGCCCCAAAUCAACCAGCACCCUUCAGCCCUGGGUCCCAGCUUGAUUCCAUGGAUGACCCAGGCUUUAUAUGCAUUACCCUGUUUCAGGCAGCAUCCAUGUGUCUGGUGUCUCCUAGGGGAGGAAGAGACUCAGGUGUGAAGGAAGAAAAAGCGUGAGGAGACCGCUAGAGAGAAAGAGCAUGGGUUUGAGUGCAGCCUGCCCCCUAAAAGCACUGGGUUGACACACACAACCAGAAGGCCAGCUUUCUAGAAGCUCAGCUCCACAUCAACCAGCCUGAUACGAGCAAAGUGUAUGGCCAAAAUUCACGCCAGAAGCCCACCUUUCCAGAAGGCAAGCUGCACUCCAUCGUGAUUCUAGAAAACUGCACACCCAAGACUCAAACCAGGUCCCUGUGGAUCCAGAGAUCUGCCUUCAGACAGUCAAAGGGCCCUCAGAACCCAGACUAGUG